rnacentral:rRNA from 1 species
AUUGAAUGCUGGCGGCAGGCCUAACACAUGCAAGUCGAGCGGGGACUUCGGUCCUAGCGGCGAACGGGUGAGGAAUGCUUGGGAAUCUGCCCAGUAGCGGGGGAUAACGUUUCGAAAGGAACGCUAAUACCGCAUACGCCCUACGGGGGAAAGGGGGGGAUCUUCGGACCUCUCACUAUUGGAUGAGCCCAAGUCGGAUUAGCUAGUUGGUGGGGUAAAGGCCUACCAAGGCGACGAUCCGUAGCUGGUCUGAGAGGAUGGUCAGCCACACUGGAACUGAGACACGGUCCAGACUCCUACGGGAGGCAGCAGUGGGGAAUAUUGGACAAUGGGCGAAAGCCUGAUCCAGCCAUGCCGCGUGUGUGAAGAAGGCCUUCGGGUUGUAAAGCACUUUAAGCGAGGAGGAAUGGCUGAGGGUUAAUAACCUUCAGCAGUGACGUUACUCGCAGAAUAAGCACCGGCUAACUCUGUGCCAGCAGCCGCGGUAAUAC